UACGUAGGGUGCAAGCGUUUGUCCGGAAUUAUUGGGCGUAAAGAGCUCGUAGGCGGUUUGUUGCGUCGGCUGUGAAAUCCCGAGGCUCAACCUCGGGUCUGCAGUCGAUACGAGCAAACUAGAGUGUUGCAGGGGAGACUGGAAUUCCUGGUGUAGCGGUGAAAUGCGCAGAUAUCAGGAGGAACACCGGUGGCGAAGGCGGGUCUCUGGGCAACAACGUGACGCUG
rnacentral:rRNA from 1 species